rnacentral:tRNA from 1 species
GGAGCUGUAGCUCAGUGGUAGAGCAGUUGCAUAACAUGCAUGAGGUCCUGGGUUCAGUCCCCAGCACCA